AUUGAUAAUUUCUGUAUAUAAUAAUCUUCGGGAUAUAGGCUUUCUAGAAAUGUUUUUCUUUUUUCAUAUAUUCUAUACUUUUUUGUUAAUAUGACGUUGAAUAUUGUGGUAUUUAAUGUUAAAAAAUUAACAUUUCGGGAUACACGUCACAACAAUAAACCUCCAAUGACCAUGUACAAUGUACAUGAACCUAUAAAUCUCUGAAUUUAUCAAGUUAUAUGCACUCAAAUAGCUAGAAUGGCUUAUUCAAUGAUCAUAAUAAGCAUUUUUGACCAAAUUUGGGAAAUAGAAAUAAGAAAUAUUUUGGAAAUGAUGUUCAAAGCCGUGAUUGUUCAACUUUACUUUUAAAUUAUUUUUACUUGAAUUUUAAAAUACUGAAAUAAGAAGAAUAAAUAUAGUAUGUAGUUUAUUUACAUGGUGAAAGAAGUGAAUCAUUGGAACAAUUCUGUUUCAUAUCAUAUUCCAUAGUUUUGGUUUUUUUUGUUUUCUUUCUUAUUUUUUUUUUUUUUUAGUAUUAAAACGACCGAGUAUCGAAAGCAAUGGUAACGAAAUAAGUUGACACCGCGUCUCGUCAAAACAUGUUCAAUUCGAAUUUACUCGGAAUUACACGUUCAACGAGCAUUUGCUGUGAAACCUGAUUAAAGGAAAAUUACUGUAGACACCUAAUAGUUUACAUAUGUCAGCAAGUCCUCAAAAGCAGCUUUAGGGGUUCCCAGGAGAUUCUGAUGCUCACUGUUAGACUUUCACUGUCGUCAAAAUCCAACCUUAUUUUCUCUUUUCUCAAAACUUCAGCUCUCAAAAACUUGUUUGAUUAAUUAUGUCACUCCUGUUUUGUUGAACAUGGUGUUGUCAGCAAUAGGUUCAAGUUCUUCUAUGUCUUGUUGUAGGUGAUUUGUACAGAAGCGAGCCCCGGCAGGAAUGAUGGCCUCUUUUGAAAUGAAGAUUUCAUGCCUUACUCCUACUGGGACUACAACUAACUUUGGACCUGGUAACUCGCAGAUACAGCAUGAAGUGUGCCCUCUUGAUGUACAUGGGGAUGGGAGUGAUACAGAAGGGGGACUAAUUGGAAGAACUGCUGCUGGUGGUGGUGGUGCUGGACUGUCUUGAAUCUGUUGCCUAACCGACUUGAUAUUCUUCUGUUUAAUAUGGGAGCAACACACACACUCUGGCAUAUAUUGCACAGAAAAUCAUGAUCAGAUGGUGCCCUCCCUAUCAGAGUGGUGAUCACUGACCUAUAUUUCUUUGAAAUCCUGGAUCUGUGUUUUGGUUUUACUCUCCAUGGACAGUUGAAACAGAGAAAGAAUUAGGGACCACUCCUUGGCAUAUCUGAAAUAUUUAUGUCAUAUACAUGUAAUUAAAAUAUACAAUUUGGGUUGGAUGAAAAUCUUAUCUUCAUGUUAAAACCCAUUAGCCUAGGUUAUUUUUCCUAAAAUCUAAUUAUAAAUCAAUUAACUUGUUAAUUAAUGCUUGGUGAAUCAAUUAAUAAAUUGUAUUCAAGAACUUGGAAUUAUUUUUUUUCCCACUAAUAAACUGAAAAUGUGUAUCUUCAAAUGUUUUGUUGAUUAAUGUCAGUGUGACAUAUAGAGGGGGUAUGGGGUUUACAACAAUGUAUACAUGGUUAAUUUAUUUCUAUUAUGUAGUCCAUGUAAAUUUCUGUGGAAACGAGGAAGUUAUUUAUAUUCGGUCUUUCCUAUCCCGGGGUAGGAAAGACCGAAUAUAAAUAACCCCCUCGUUUCCACGGAAAUUAAGUCCAUGAGAGCCUGAAAUCUCCCAACCUGGGUCUGUUUAAUGGACCCUUCCAAAGUCCUUUUUUAAGGAAAAAGUAAACCAUUUUCCUAAUCCAAAAAGAAAACUGGUGCAAAAACCAUGAAAUAAUAUAAAUAAUAGAAAAAUUAUCAGUAGUAUUGUAAUACAUUUUCGGGGGUGGGGGGGGGGGGGGGGGGGGGGGGGGGUUGCCGUUUCACCUUUAUAGAUUUUUUUUUUUUCCUAACAUUUAAAACAUAUCUUUUCAAUAUCAAUUUUGUCUAUAGCACAAAAUAAAAAUUCUAAAAUCAAUUAAAGCGUUUGAUUUUCGUGUGUAUAUAUAAAACAAAACGAAAGAAAAAAAAACUAGGAUCCUCCACUAGUAAACUAUGUUUUCCAUUUAGAGUUAUUGCCCUUCAAUCGAAAAAACGUAAACAUAAUUAAGAGAAUACUCUACAUUUCAACACAAGUUUUGUCAAAUAUUAUUUAACAAGAUAUAUUUUGAUAUGUAUUUAAAUUGAUCUACUUCAUUAAAAACAAACUUUC